AAGCGUUGUGUAAAUAAUUUGUAGAUGUUCGAAGAGGAGUUCAGAGUAAGGAACUUGCGUUUCUCUCGCGGAAUGGACGAAAGAGAGAAAGAAGGUGGUGGGUGGGUUAGCUUCUCGACCCCAAACCACCGAAAGUCCACGAUGAGAUAUGAAAAAAAUGAAAAGUGAUAUCUCUGUUAACAGGAGAUCAUGGUGGCUUCGGAGUUUCGCCCCGGAAACAGGAGGAUCAGGAAUGCAUCGAACGCGCGGAUCCGAAUCCACUCGAGUAUCCGCCCUUAAGCUCCCGGAGGGUAGAAGGAUUUGCCGCUUCAGUGACUUUGAAAGAAACAGAAACGGCUAAAGAAUCAGGAACGCAAACGAAAGAGGAGCAAUGGCAACGGAUAUUCCUCAAGAGUGCCUCUGUGUCGCUUUUCUAGCCGUGGAAGCUACAGAGAUGGAAACAAAAUGUUCGUGGGCCUUCGAAGCGUUUUUAAAAUGCCCGCCAUUGAACGUCAAUGCGACAGUCGAGCAAAGGUUCAUGAUUGACUGUGGCAUUGGCAGCCAUUUGAUUCGAAACGGAGUUUGCGUGACACCAGGAGAUCAUGUAUGCGCAAAAAUUCUUUGGAACAGGACUGAGCUUUCAGGGAAGCGUAUGUUUAUGUAUAAACAGCUUCACAUUGAUAUGGAUAUUCUGUUUGUUGAUAGUUAAUUCUUUAGUUUUUUAGAUUCUUUAAAAAUUUUAAAAGCGUCGUUCAGUAAUGGAGUAUUAUUGGGAGUUGUUGGUAGUUCUAUAAGAAAACGUGGAACUUGUCAUUCUGGAUUCUAUUACUUGAUAUUUCGUUAUUUAUUAUUUUCCUUGAAAUAAUUUAGCUCUUUUUUACAAAUAUAAACAAAGUUCAAAGAGUUAGAAGCAAAAUAGACGUCGUGUGUUCCUAAUACAAGCAAAGCUAUACAUAUAAACGUACGAGAGUAUACCUGCACAAGCGUCAUAGAAACCAAUGUUUUGCGAACUGUCUUCCAGUUAGUAUACGAACUCUAUGUUAGUAAUACUAGUAACCACGCGAACUUCGAAACAUUGGGCCACACAUGAUCAGGAAAGUAUGAAGGCAAGAGUUCGCGUGAUAGUUCAUGAUGCCGGUAACAGGAAACAAGUAUGCGUUAGUUAUAUCAAUACACUUGUACUACGAUGUUUCAUUGAGCUCUAUUUGCGUGUUAAAACGGAUCAAGAACGACGGAGAAAUGGCUCUGGUCGAAGACAAAUCCGAGAAUCGAACAUCGAGAACAGAGAACGAAUAAACAACCUUAUAGGGAUGUUAGAAGAUGGUAGAAGGUUGAACGCAUUUGCCUAGGCAUUUCUUGCGGGAAGGGUAUCGAUCGUGUGUGGUGUAUAGUAAAGCAGGGUCAUUUUCAUUUCUUAAGCGGUCGCUUAAGCUUCGAUAUCUUAUCUCGUCAUCGAGUCGUCACAACAAUUACAGAUUUUUCAGAAUUUUAUCACGUGCUUCUGAUUUCCGUUAUUCAUAAUGAUAUGUCGUAAUUAAUCUUCGUAUUGUCAAAUCAAUUCUAUUAAUUAUAUGCUAUCAAGUAUAUAGGAAGUAUGGCUCGGAAACUCGCAGUGCAAUUUAUCGAUAACCUAACGGACAAAUUAUAAUGGAAAGAGCAGCCUACGUUAUUAUAUAUUGGGAACAGAAGAACCCAUUAGAGUUCGUUAAUUACACGUAUCUUUCAAAUAUCUUUCGAUAAAAUCAGCGAAAGAUAAUUAUCGAAAGUGGUGAUACCGCGCAUGACCGUGGUAAAAAUCGUGAUUGUUCACU